rnacentral:rRNA from 1 species
GACGAACGCUGGCGGUGUGCUUAACACAUGCAAGUCGAAUGAGUGGCGAACGGGUGUGUAACCCGUGGGUGAUCUGCCUUGCACUACGGGUUACGCUUGGGAAACCGGGUUUAAUACCGGAUUGUGCAAUAUGAGCUCGCGGGCUAUCAGCUUGUUGGUGGGGUAAUGGCUACCAUGUUGCGACGGGUAGCCGGCCUGAGAGGGUGUGCGGCCACAUUGGGACUGGGAUACGGGCCAGACGCCUACGGGAGGCAGGAGUGGGGAAUAUUGCACAAUGGGCGGAAGCCUGAUGCAGCGACGCCGCGUGGGGAAUGAAGGCCUUCGGGUUGUAAACUCCUUUCGACAGGGACGCGGUACCUGUAUAAGAAUCACCGGCUAACUACGUGCCAGCAGCCGCGGUAAUAC